rnacentral:rRNA from 1 species
UACGAAGGGGGCUAGCGUUGUUCGGAAUCACUGGGCGUAAAGCGCACGCAGGCGGGUCGUUAAGUCAGGGGUGAAAUCCCGAGGCUCAACCUCGGAACUGCCUUUGAUACUGGCGAUCUUUGAGUCCGGGGAGAGGUGAGUGGAACUCCGAGUGUAGAGGUGAAAUUCGUAGAUAUUCGGAAGAACACCAGUGGCGAAGGCGGCUCACUGGCCCGGUACUGACGCUCAUGUGCGAAAGCGUGGGGAGCAAACAGG